rnacentral:rRNA from 1 species
UACGUAGGGGGCAAGCGUUGUCCGGAUUUACUGGGCGUAAAGGGCUCGUAGGCGGCCAACUAAGUCAGACGUGAAAUCCCUCAGCUUAACUGGGGAACUGCGUCUGAUACUGGAUGGCUUGGAUUCGGGAGAGGAAUGCGGAAUUCCAGGUGUAGCGGUGAAAUGCGUAGAUAUCUGGAGGAACACCGGUGGCGAAGGCGGCAUUCUGGACCGACAUUGACGCUGAGGAGCGAAAGCCAGGGGAGCAAACGGG